GACAGAGGUGCCGAGCGUUAGGCGGAAUCACUGGGCUUAAAGCGUGUGUAGGCGGGCCGUUAAGUAUCUUGUGAAAUCCCCCGGCUCAACCGGGGAAUGGCUGGAUAUACUGGCGGUCUUGAGCAGUCUAGGGGCAGAUGGAACAAGUGGUGGAGCGGUGAAAUGCGUAGAUAUCACUUGGAACGCCAAAGGUGAAAACAGUCUGCUGGGGACUUGCUGACGCUGGAGACACGAAAGCCCAGGGGAGCGAACGGG
rnacentral:rRNA from 1 species